rnacentral:rRNA from 1 species
UUGAAAAAUUAGAGUUUCAAAGCAGGCUUUGCUCGAAUACGUUAGCAUGGAAUAAUAGAAUAGGACGUGCGGUCCUAUUUUGUUGGUUUCUAGGACCGCCGUAAUGAUUAAUAGGGACAGUCGGGGGCAUCAGUAUUCAAUUGUCAGAGGUGAAAUUCUUGGAUUUAUUGAAGACUAACUACUGCGAAAGUCUUUGCCAAGGAUGUUUUCAUUAAUCAGUGAACGAAAGUUAGGGGAUCGAAGACGAUCAGAUACCGUCGUAGUCUUAACCGUAAACUAUGCCGACUAGGGAUCGGGCGAUGUUCUUUUUCUGACUCGCUCGGC